rnacentral:rRNA from 1 species
GACGAACGCUGGCGGCGUGCUUAACACAUGCAAGUCGAACGGUGAAGGGGUCUGCUUUUGUGGGCCCUGGAUGAGUGGCGAACGGGUGAGUAACACGUGAGUAACCUGCCCCCUUCUUCUGGAUAACCGCAUGAAAGUGUGGCUAAUACGGGAUAUUCUGGGUCUGUCGCAUGAUGGGUCUGGGAAAGAUUGCGCCUUUGGGUGUUUUUGGUGGGGGAUGGGCUCGCGGCCUAUCAGCUUGUUGGUGGGGUGAUGGCCUACCAAGGCGGUGACGGGUAGCCGGCCUGAGAGGGUGGACGGUCACACUGGGACUGAGACACGGCCCAGACUCCUACGGGAGGCAGCAGUGGGGAAUAUUGCACAAUGGGCGCAAGCCUGAUGCAGCGACGCCGCGUGAGGGAUGGAGGCCUUCGGGUUGUAAACCUCUUUCGCCAGUGAAGCAGGGCUGCCCCUUGUGGGUGGGUUGACGGUAGCUGGAUAAGAAGCGCCGGCUAACUACGUG